rnacentral:rRNA from 1 species
AUUGAACGCUGGCGGCAGGCCUAACACAUGCAAGUCGAACGGUAGCACAGAGAGCUUGCUCUCGGGUGACGAGUGGCGGACGGGUGAGUAAUGUCUGGGAAACUGCCCGAUGGAGGGGGAUAACUACUGGAAACGGUAGCUAAUACCGCAUAACGUCGCAAGACCAAAGUGGGGGACCUUCGGGCCUCACACCAUCGGAUGGGCCCAGAUGGGAUUAGCUAGUAGGUGGGGUAAUGGCUCACGUAGGCGACGAUCCCUAGCUGGUCUGAGAGGAGGAACAGCCAGACUGGAACUGAGACACGGUCCAGACUCCUACGGGAGGCAGCAGUGGGGAAUAUUGGACAAUGGGCGCAAGCCUGAUGCAGCCAUGCCGCGUGUAUGAAGAAGGCCUUCGGGUUGUAAAGUACUUUCAGCGGGGAGGAAGGCGGUGAAGUUAAUAGCUUCACCGAUUGACGUUACCCGCAGAAGAAGCACCGGCUAACUCCGUGCCAGCAGCCGCAGUAA